rnacentral:rRNA from 1 species
UGGCUCAGAGUGAACGCUGGCGGCGUGCCUAAUACAUGCAAGUCGAACGAUGAAGCUUCUAGCUUGCUAGAAGUGGAUUAGUGGCGCACGGGUGAGUAAGGUAUAGUUAAUCUGCCCUACACAAGAGGACAACAGUUGGAAACGACUGCUAAUACUCUAUACUCCUGCUUAACACAAGUUGAGUAGGGAAAGUUUUUCGGUGUAGGAUGAGACUAUAUAGUAUCAGCUAGUUGGUAAGGUAAUGGCUUACCAAGGCUAUGACGCUUAACUGGUCUGAGAGGAUGAUCAGUCACACUGGAACUGAGACACGGUCCAGACUCCUACGGGAGGCAGCAGUAGGGAAUAUUGCGCAAUGGGGGAAACCCUGACGCAGCAACGCCGCGUGGAGGAUGACACUUUUCGGAGCGUAAACUCCUUUUCUUAGGGAAGAAUUCUGACGGUACCUAAGGAAUAAGCACCGGCUAACUCCGUGCCAGCAGCCGCGGUAAUACGGAGGGUGCAAGCGUUACUCGGAAUCACUGGGCGUAAAGGGCGCGUAGGCGGAUUAUCAAGUCUCUUGUGAAAUCUAAUGGCUUAACCAUUAAACUGCUUGGGAAACUGAUAGUCUAGAGUGAGGGAGAGGCAGAUGGAAUUGGUGGUGUAGGGGUAAAAUCCGUAGAUAUCACCAAGAAUACCCAUUGCGAAGGCGAUCUGCUGGAACUCAACUGACGCUAAGGCGCGAAAGCGUGGGGAGCAAACAGGAUUAGAUACCCUGGUAGUCCACGCCCUAAACGAUGUACACUAGUUGUUGGGGUGCUAGUCAUCUCAGUAAUGCAGCUAACGCAUUAAGUGUACCGCCUGGGGAGUACGGUCGCAAGAUUAAAACUCAAAGGAAUAGACGGGGACCCGCACAAGCGGUGGAGCAUGUGGUUUAAUUCGAAGAUACGCGAAGAACCUUACCUGGGCUUGAUAUCCUAAGAACCUUUUAGAGAUAAGAGGGUGCUAGCUUGCUAGAACUUAGAGACAGGUGCUGCACGGCUGUCGUCAGCUCGUGUCGUGAGAUGUUGGGUUAAGUCCCGCAACGAGCGCAACCCACGUAUUUAGUUGCUAACGGUUCGGCCGAGCACUCUAAAUAGACUGCCUUCGUAAGGAGGAGGAAGGUGUGGACGACG